AAACGAUGGCUAAUACCGCAUGAUGCCUACGGGCCAAAGAGGGGGACCUUCGGGCCUCUCGCGUCAGGAUAUGCCUAGGUGGGAUUAGCUAGUUGGUGAGGUAAGGGCUCACCAAGGCGACGAUCCCUAGCUGGUCUGAGAGGAUGAUCAGCCACACUGGAACUGAGACACGGUCCAGACUCCUACGGGAGGCAGCAGUGGGGAAUAUUGCACAAUGGGCGCAAGCCUGAUGCAGCCAUGCCGCGUGUGUGAAGAAGGCCUUCGGGUUGUAAAGCACUUUCAGUCGUGAGGAAGGUAGUGUAGUUAAUAGCUGCAUUAUUUGACGUUAGCGACAGAAGAAGCACCGGCUAACUCCGUGCCAGCAGCCGCGGUAAUACGGAGGGUGCGAGCGUUAAUCGGAAUUACUGGGCGUAAAGCGCAUGCAGGUGGUUUGUUAAGUCAGAUGUGAAAGCCCGGGGCUCAACCUCGGAAUUGCAUUUGAAACUGGCAGACUAGAGUACUGUAGAGGGGGGUAGAAUUUCAGGUGUAGCGGUGAAAUGCGUAGAGAUCUGAAGGAAUACCGGUGGCGAAGGCGGCCCCCUGGACAGAUACUGACACUCAGAUGCGAAAGCGUGGGGAGCAAACAGGAUUAGAUACCCUGGUAGUCCACGCCGUAAACGAUGUCUACUUGGAGGUUGUGGCCUUGAGCCGUGGCUUUCGGAGCUAACGCGUUAAGUAGACCGCCUGGGGAGUACGGUCGCAAGAUUAAAACUCAAAUGAAUUGACGGGGGCCCGCACAAGCGGUGGAGCAUGUGGUUUAAUUCGAUGCAACGCGAAGAACCUUACCUACUCUUGACAUCCAGAGAACUUUCCAGAGAUGGAUUGGUGCCUUCGGGAACUCUGAGACAGGUGCUGCAUGGCUGUCGUCAGCUCGUGUUGUGAAAUGUUGGGUUAAGUCCCGCAACGAGCGCAACCCUUAUCCUUGUUUGCCAGCGAGUAAUGUCGGGAACUCCAGGGAGACUGCCGGUGAUAAACCGGAGGAAGGUGGGGACGACGUCAAGUCAUCAUGGCCCUUACGAGUAGGGCUACACACGUGCUACAAUGGCGCAUACAGAGGGCAGCCAACUUGCGAAAGUGAGCGAAUCCCAAAAAGUGCGUCGUAGUCCGGAUUGGAGUCUGCAACUCGACUCCAUGAAGUCGGAAUCGCUAGUAAUCGUGGAUCAGAAUGCCACGGUGAAUACGUUCCCGGGCCUUGUACACACCGCCCGUCACACCAUGGGAGUGGGCUGCAAAAGAAGUAGGUAGUUUAACCUUCGGGGGGACGCUUACCACUUUGUGGUUCAUGACUGGGGUGAAGUCGUAACAAGGUAGCGCUAGGGGAACCUGGCGCUGGAUCACCUCCUUAAACGAUGAU
rnacentral:rRNA from 1 species